rnacentral:rRNA from 1 species
GAUGAACGCUGGCGGCGUGCCUAAUACAUGCAAGUCGAGCGAACAGACGAGGAGCUUGCUCCUCUGACGUUAGCGGCGGACGGGUGAGUAACACGUGGAUAACCUACCUAUAAGACUGGGAUAACUUCGGGAAACCGGAGCUAAUACCGGAUAAUAUAUUGAACCGCAUGGUUCAAUAGUGAAAGACGGUUUUGCUGUCACUUAUAGAUGGAUCCGCGCCGCAUUAGCUAGUUGGUAAGGUAACGGCUUACCAAGGCAACGAUGCGUAGCCGACCUGAGAGGGUGAUCGGCCACACUGGAACUUAGACACGGUCCAGACUCCUACGGGAGGCAGCAGUAGGGAAUCUUCCGCAAUGGGCGAAAGCUUGACGGAGCAACGCCGCGUGAGUUAUGAAGGUCUUCGGAUCGUAAAACUCUGUUAUUAGGUAAGAACAAAUGUGUAAGUAACUAUGCACGUCUUGACGGUACCUAAUCAGAAAGCCACGGCUAACUACGUG